CAGCGCCGCGGUAAUACGUAGGGUGCAAGCGUUAAUCGGAAUUACUGGGCGUAAAGCGUGCGCAGGCGGUUUGUUAAGACAGAUGUGAAAUCCCCGGGCCCAACCUGGGAACUGCAUUUGUGACUGGCAAGCUAGAGUAUGGCAGAGGGGGGUGGAAUUCCGCGUGUAGCAGUGAAAUGCGUAGAUAUGCGGAGGAACACCGAUGGCGAAGGCAGCCCCCUGGGCCUAUACUGACGCUCAUGCACGAAAGCGUGGGGAGCAAACAGGAUUAGAUACCCCUGUAGUCCCUGUCUCUUAUACA
rnacentral:rRNA from 1 species